UACGGGGGGGGCAAGCGUUGUUCGGAAUUACUGGGCGUAAAGGGCUCGUAGGCGGCCAACUAAGUCGGACGUGAAAUCCCCAGGCUCAACCUGGGAACUGCGUCCGAUACUGGAUGGCUUGAAUCCGGGAGAGGGAUGCAGAAUUCCAGGUGUAGCGGUGAAAUGCGUAGAUAUCUGGAGGAAUACCGGUGGUGAAGGCGGCAUCCUGGACCGGCAUUGACGCUGAGGAGCGAAAGCGUGGGGAGCAAACGGGG
rnacentral:rRNA from 1 species